GCCCGGAUGGUCUAGUGGUAUGAUUCGCGCUUAGGGAGCUAUAUAUCUAUAUAUAAAUUUAUAUAUGGUGUUAUACAUCAAACCCAAGCAUCAAUUGCGCGAGGUCCCCGGUUCGAUCCCGGGUUCGGGCC